ensembl:lncRNA
GGGGGCUGCGCGCCUGUCCGUGUACGGACGUCUGGUUGCGGGGUUGUGUGCAGAAACAGAGGAACUGGAACGCGGUUAUCUGCGCACGCUUGGUGCUCUCUCUCUGCUGUCGGUGUUGGGCUCUUGUCAGUAGCAGACUCUGUGCUCCUGGGGGCAGCAUCGCUUCGUGCUCGUUAUGCCCUUACACCUGGGGUAACUGGUGCCUUGUCCGUCGCGUUCUUUUAGCUUUUAACGUAAGGAACGCUCGAUGGACACGGAAGGUCCUCGCUCUGUGAUGCAACUUGAUAGACGCUCCCAGGGCAGGUGCUGCUUUAAGGUGAAAGAAGAGGACCAUGUGGCUGAUUUUAGGUUGUGCUCUUCUGUCUUCUCUGACCUCAAUUCCAACCUUACGUGGCUGUCUCACAGGACUUCAAGUAUCAGGGCAGGUGACAUUAGCAGGGUGUGCCUACUGCCCACGGGAUUAAUGAGGUCAGGUCCCACAGUCUGUUUCCUGGUGCUGUCUCCAUUGUAGAUGAACUCAAACAGUGGCCUUUCCAAGCACUGCUUAUUCCGUCAGGGCUCUUUGACAUCGAUGGCUUUGCUGACUUGAAUGCUUUGCACAUCCAUCAUUGCUAUGGCUUACAGCUUGGCACUGUGGCAGUAGGUUUUCUUCUAGAGCAAUGAACUUACCAACUCGUCUUUACAUUACUUGUCAACUUGAAUUUCAUCUGUUUGCACUGAGAUUUUGGUUUCCACCUAAGACACAUAUUCAUAACUGUAUGUUUUCUGACAAAAACUCUCAGGCAUUGUUUACACACCAUCUCAGAAAGGUGACAAAAUCUGCACUGCUCUGAAUGGAAGCAUUGCCCAGCGUCUUUGCUGGUGUUUGCGUGGGGUGUCUCAAAGCUAUUGGGCAGCUUGACAGGCAUGUAGUUUUGUUGCAAGAGAUCUGAAUCAGAGAUUAUUGCUGAUAUACGGGAAGUUUACCAGUGGAAAUGCUGUUUAGGGGGUUUACAUGAAAGCUACAUGUCUCACAGGAAAAAAAGCACACAUGAAAAGAAAGAAGGUCUGUAACACUGGAGGUAUGUUAAAUAAAAAUGUAGUGGUGCAAGACUUAAGGGAAAGGUAGAAAAGCACAGACGUUUACUAUCUUUUUGAUUCCUUAACACAAAAGGCUUCUGGUAUCUGGCUUGGCGUACAUGGCAGGAAUAUAAGAGCUGACAAAAUUCACAUAGGCAGUAAUCCAGUCAUCAACUCUCUGCCCAAGAAGAAUCCUCAUUCACCUUACACUUGUCUGUAUGUACAAGUAUCUAUGUAUCUAUGAGGGUUACAAGAAAUGGAAAAAGCAAGUUCUGCAAGUACUUUUUUAUAAGGAUUUGGGAGAUUUGUAUAAGAUAAAUACUGUUUCACUAAAGUAACUUCUGAAGAGUUUGCGUUCCUUCCUCUCAUUCCACCUCUGUGAGGGUGCCUAGUGAUAGAGCAAGGGGGAAUGGUUUUAAA